rnacentral:rRNA from 1 species
CUAAUACCUGCAGUCGAGCGGACAGAAGGGAGCUUGCUCCCGGAUGUUAGCGGCGGACGGGUGAGUAACACGUGGGUAACCUGCCUGUAAGACUGGGAUAACUCCGGGAAACCGGAGCUAAUACCGGAUAGUUCCUUGAACCGCAUGGUUCAAGGAUGAAAGACGGUUUCGGCUGUCACUUACAGAUGGACCCGCGGCGCAUUAGCUAGUUGGUGAGGUAACGGCUCACCAAGGCGACGAUGCGUAGCCGACCUGAGAGGGUGAUCGGCCACACUGGGACUGAGACACGGCCCAGACUCCUACGGGAGGCAGCAGUAGGGAAUCUUCCGCAAUGGACGAAAGUCUGACGGAGCAACGCCGCGUGAGUGAUGAAGGUUUUCGGAUCGUAAAGCUCUGUUGUUAGGGAAGAACAAGUGCAAGAGUAACUGCUUGCACCUUGACGGUACCUAACCAGAAAGCCACGGCUAACUACGUGCCAGCAGCCGCGGUAAUACGUAGGUGGCAAGCGUUGUCCGGAAUUAUUGGGCGUAAAGGGCUCGCAGGCGGUUUCUUAAGUCUGAUGUGAAAGCCCCCGGCUCAACCGGGGAGGGUCAUUGGAAACUGGGAAACUUGAGUGCAGAAGAGGAGAGUGGAAUUCCACGUGUAGCGGUGAAAUGCGUAGAGAUGUGGAGGAACACCAGUGGCGAAGGCGACUCUCUGGUCUGUAACUGACGCUGAGGAGCGAAAGCGUGGGGAGCGAACAGGAUUAGAUA